rnacentral:rRNA from 1 species
AUUGAACGCUGGCGGCAUGCCUUACACAUGCAAGUCGAACGGUAACGGGUCUUCGGAUGCUGACGAGUGGCGAACGGGUGAGUAAUACAUCGGAACGUGCCUAGUAGUGGGGGAUAACUGCUCGAAAGAGUGGCUAAUACCGCAUGAGAUCUACGGAUGAAAGCAGGGGAUCGCAAGACCUUGUGCUACUAGAGCGGCCGAUGGCAGAUUAGGUAGUUGGUGGGAUAAAAGCUUACCAAGCCGACGAUCUGUAGCUGGUCUGAGAGGACGAUCAGCCACACUGGGACUGAGACACGGCCCAGACUCCUACGGGAGGCAGCAGUGGGGAAUUUUGGACAAUGGGCGCAAGCCUGAUCCAGCAAUGCCGCGUGCAGGAUGAAGGCCUUCGGGUUGUAAACUGCUUUUGUACGGAACGAAAAGCCCUGGGUUAAUACCCUGGGGUCAUGACGGUACCGUAAGAAUAAGCACCGGCUAACUACGUGCCAGCAGCCGCAGUAACAC